CUUCUGGUGGUACUGAGGCAAGUGUACAAAAUGCAGGAACUUAUUACAGGAAUUUGAUCAAUCACGUUAAAGGAAAUGGGACGCCAAAGAGACAGGGGAGACCUAUUGAAACUUACUUGUUUGCUAUGUAUGAUGAAAACCUCAAGGGAGGGGCAGAGACUGAGAAACAUUUUGGGCUUUUCAAUCCCACAAAUCAGCAGCCAAAAUACCAACUCAGUUUUUGAGCUAUAAUACUAACAAAUGUAAUGCAAUAAAUAAUAAGGCCCAAUUUGCCUGUAUGGACAAAAUAAAGAACAAGAAAUGUUAAGGAUCUUUCAUGUUUGGAUCAGUUUGUUUACAGCAAACAAUAUGUAUGCUCUAUAAAGGUAAAAUUGUAACAUGCAAAAUAGUCCAAUGGUUGCAUCCAUGCAAGAGGUAUAAAAUUUUCAUACUUAGGCUGUGUUCACUUCAUGGAAUGGAAUGAGGGGAGAAUGGAAUGAAAAAUUAUAUAAAAGUUUUAAGGAGAAAGAAGAAAGUAUGAGAUAAUAGUGACAAAAUAUGAAUGUAGUUAAUUUUUUUGUGAGAAAGAUUGUGAAGAAACAUGAUGUUCAAAUGGAAUGAGCAUUCCUUCCAAAACAUGUGGGUUAGAGUUAUAGUUAAAAUAGUAAGGUUGGAAUGAUUGAAGGAAUGAAAAUUAUAUACAUUUUCUUUGAUCAACACCAUUUUAGAGUAUAAAAUUCAUUUCAUUCUCCCUCCAUUCCAUUCACUCCAAGUGAACACAACCUUAAUGUUUUUCAUAAUCAAGUCUAAAAAUUAAGUUGGCGUCUCAAUAACUCCAAUAGAGUGCUAACAAGUACGUCAUUUAAGGUGGCGUUGAUACCCCUCUUGACGGUCCUUGUUAGAGUUGCGCCUAGGGAAUCCUUUCCCGCAGUACCCAUGUUGUUGUUCACGUUUCCCAGUCUACCCACAUUCAUUCAAUCUUUCCUUAACUACCCAUCUUUUGCACUGUACGCUUGGAAAUGUGUAGAAAACCUGGCCCACAACCUAUUCUUUAUAUUAAACAUGUUGCGCUGUACACAUAAGUUCGCACAAAAAUGCAACUAAAUCACUGUGGUUUAACAAUUUUAAUUUCAUUUGGACUUGUAAGUUUUGAUAUAUAAAGUAUGGAUGAUUCCUUCGGCUAUUUAUUAAAACCCUGCAUUGUUUUUGUUUUAUCCGCCGGUUUAGAGCCACCAAAUUGGUGGGUUUCUAUUUUUUUUAAACCUCAUAAUACGUUAAAUAUCAUAACAAUUUCAAUCAUUUCAUUUUUUUUAUAUAUAUUUUCUAAUUUAUCUUUCAAUUUUUAUAUAUUUAUAUCAUUAGAAGUAUUAUAAAUUAUAUAUUAAUAAAUACUUUAUAAAUAAUUACAAUAUGACCAAUUUAUAUUUAUAAAUUAAUAAAGUAAAUAAUUUAAAUACUUUUUCUGAGUUAUCAAAUCAACUAUUUACAAUUGAAACAGAUUCUUAUCUAUAAUUUGAGUAGAGACGAUGAAUUUAGCCCUUUACAUGAUUCAGAAAUUGAAACAGAUUAUGAGGAUAUUGAUUAUGAUGGUGAUUCUGAUUCGACAGAUACUGAUAAUGAUGAAGAAGAGGAAGAAUAUGUGCCUACUACACCAUGGUUUACAGAAGAAACCACUUCUAACAAGUUUGCUAAUAGUUCAGGUGCUUCUUGUGGGAGAUGCGGUCAAGAAGGUCACACAAGACGCAGUCGCCGUUGCCCACAACAUGGACAAUAAUUUUAAGAUUAAUAUGUUGUUGUAUUUUAAUUGUCAAGUUUAAUUUUACCUAAAAGUUGCUAUCAUGUAAUAUUUAUAAUUAUUGGAUAAUUAAGUUUAAUAUUGGAUUUUCAUUUAUUUACAUGUUCAAAUAAAUAUUAGUUAAUAAUUUAUAAUUAUUAUGANNNNNNNNNNNNNNNNNNNNNNNNNNNNNNNNNNNNNNNNNNNNNNNNNNNNNNNNNNNNNNNNNNNNNNNNNNNNNNNNNNNNNNNNNNNNNNNNNNNNNNNNNNNGAAUCCUUUCCCGCAGUACCCAUGUUGUUGUUCACGUUUCCCAGUCUACCCACAUUCAUUCAAUCUUUCCUUAACUACCCAUCUUUUGCACUGUACGCUUGGAAAUGUGUAGAAAACCUGGCCCACAACCUAUUCUUUAUAUUAAACAUGUUGCGCUGUACACAUAAGUUCGCACAAAAAUGCAACUAAAUCACUGUGGUUUAACAAUUUUAAUUUCAUUUGGACUUGUAAGUUUUGAUAUAUAAAGUAUGGAUGAUUCCUUCGGCUAUUUAUUAAAACCCUGCAUUGUUUUUGUUUUAUCCGCCGGUUUAGAGCCACCAAAUUGGUGGGUUUCUAUUUUUUUUAAACCUCAUAAUACGUUAAAUAUCAUAACAAUUUCAAUCAUUUCAUUUUUUUUAUAUAUAUUUUCUAAUUUAUCUUUCAAUUUUUAUAUAUUUAUAUCAUUAGAAGUAUUAUAAAUUAUAUAUUAAUAAAUACUUUAUAAAUAAUUACAAUAUGACCAAUUUAUAUUUAUAAAUUAAUAAAGUAAAUAAUUUAAAUACUUUUUCUGAGUUAUCAAAUCAACUAUUUACAAUUGAAACAGAUUCUUAUCUAUAAUUUGAGUAGAGACGAUGAAUUUAGCCCUUUACAUGAUUCAGAAAUUGAAACAGAUUAUGAGGAUAUUGAUUAUGAUGGUGAUUCUGAUUCGACAGAUACUGAUAAUGAUGAAGAAGAGGAAGAAUAUGUGCCUACUACACCAUGGUUUACAGAAGAAACCACUUCUAACAAGUUUGCUAAUAGUUCAGGUGCUUCUUGUGGGAGAUGCGGUCAAGAAGGUCACACAAGACGCAGUCGCCGUUGCCCACAACAUGGACAAUAAUUUUAAGAUUAAUAUGUUGUUGUAUUUUAAUUGUCAAGUUUAAUUUUACCUAAAAGUUGCUAUCAUGUAAUAUUUAUAAUUAUUGGAUAAUUAAGUUUAAUAUUGGAUUUUCAUUUAUUUACAUGUUCAAAUAAAUAUUAGUUAAUAAUUUAUAAUUAUUAUGAUCAAUUAAGUAAAAGUAGAAUCAAUUUAAUAAAAAUUAAAAACUUAGGUACCUAUAUGUAAAAUGUAUGUGUGCAAGUUUUUUGAUUCAUCACUUUUGUCCCCACAACUUGUAAGUGGGGUCCAUUUAACCAUUUAAUUAAGUGUGGAAUAUGCAAAAGGUGGGUAGUUUGGGAUAAAUUGAAGGGGGCUGGGUAGAUUGGGAAAAGGGAAUGGGAAAUGGGGCAUUCAGGGAAGGGACUCUGCGCCCAGGGACUGCAACUGACGAGCGUAAUCAGUCUGUCAUGCAAACACAUUGGCACUAUCAAAACCCUAACUACACGGCAACUGUUCAUCGGACCUACUCAUGUAGCUUCACACAUUUUCUUGAGUGGCACCAACUUUGAGCACUCUCUAAUGGCUUCUUGAAUAAUACCACUAAUGAGAUGUCCUUGUCUAGCUAUAUGCAUAAUACCACUAAUGAGAUGUCCUUGUCUAGCUAUAUGCAUAUAACUACAAGUCCUCCACUGCAAUUUCUCAGGCGGCCUGUUAUUGAAGAACGUAUGUUACAUGCAUGUUUAACAGAAAUUGUUUCUUUUCUGUAAUAAGCUUUCAUGAAGUUUUCGGAAAUUCGAAACUUUAAUCUUCUCAAAUAUAAAUUUUGAGAAUUUGACCAAUUAUACAAAAGAAAAAUCUAAGAAAUGUGUACUCUGUUUAUUAAUAAGCGAGGAUUAAUAGAAGAAUUCCCAAACCCCGAACAUAAAAAGUAUCAAAUAAUAAAUUACUAAAAUUUGCUAUUAUUUUAUAAUUCUUUUUAUUUAAUCGUAAUAAUCAUUAUAUUAUUAUAAUAAGUCUUACUUGACGAGGAUUUUGUAAUGUAAUGGUUGUCCUCACAAUAGAAAUAUUACAUCGGCAAAAAAAUUAUUUAUUUUAUUUUUAAAAGGCAAAUAUUUAAUUUCAUCACGAAUAUAAAAUUCCUAUCAUAUUUCAAAAUUCAAACAAAUAAAAAAUUUAAUUGAUAUUAUCAAACAAAUCUAUAUUAAUAAAAACUUUAAUUCUAACCCCUGUCCAACGCAAGUUUUGAGUAUAUAUGAAGAAUGUUUUGGUAACACUUGCAUGAAAAAUGUAAACUCGGCCCAAAAUGAAGCCGCUAUCGGAUUUCGGAACAAGAUUUUUCCAUCCAGAAAAUAUUGUCUUUUUAAAAAUUCUUUUCACAACUAGACAGUUAUCUUCAAAUCUAAGCAGUUUUUAACUAAUGAAUUGAACUACCAAUUUAACUAUCCCCACCCACUGUAAUAGGGCGUCAAAAGUCUCAUGUAAUGGCUUUUAUUCAUCAAUCAAGGUUAGAUAUUACUUUGCAUACAAAGCUAAGUUUUGACAAACUGAAAUCCACAUAACCACAGUUCAAAUAUAGUUUCAUGGCAGAUGAUACUAAAGCAAAUUGAUAUAAUAGACUGUUGUCCUCUUUACAGCUUCAUUCCUAGAGGCGGAUCUUGAUAAGAGCAAGAGAAUUUUAAAUUUUUGUCCUUAAUUUUAGUGACAUAAUGUCGUGAAACGGUAAAAUAUUACAUAAUAUGAAUAUUAAUUUUUUGUUUUCUAUGUUACUCCCUCCGUUCCUUUAUAUUAGUCGCUUUGACUUUUUGCACGUAUUUUGAGAUGCUAUAUAUAUAUAUAUAUAUAUAUAUAUAUAUAUAUAUAUAUACUAUUUUUUAAUAUUUUUUCCUGAAUAAAAAUAUAAAUGUUAAACUUUUAUUCAGAAAAAAAAAAUUUAAAAAAUAAUAUGCAGAAGUAUGUUUUUUGUACACCUCAAAUCACAUGUACAAAGUCAAAGCGACUAAUAUUUAGGAACGGAGGGAGUAUCAUUUUGGUAUUCUGAUCAAAGUGUAUAUGAUUUAUUUAUGUUGUGCAACGGUAAAGAUUCAUAUAAUAUGAAUAUUAUUUUUUUUCCUGUAUUUAUUACAAUUAAUCCAGUUAUGUAACCUCGUCCAGUUACCAUCCGUUUGCAUCACAUACAAGUCGAUCAAGAAUCCAGUUGAAUUUUUGUUGGGAAUUUCAACCAAAACUGUAACAGAAUCUUUCAUGUUCAGAAGAUGACAAAAUCUUUCGUCGAUGCCUUUUGAAUACCUAAAUCUCUAAAGCAAUCCGCGUGGACUGACCCUAGCAAUAACUCGAAGCUUUCCUAGCUCCUUAUCCUUCCAUAUCCAAUACGGAUACCCUUUAACUACACAUUUACAAUUCCUACCCACUACGGGCGAAAAGGAAACGGCCAUGCCUCAAUCCAUUUAUAAAUGUCAAUUCUAGAACCACCCUGCAAAACUCGGACAAUGCAUAUAAUCCUGUAGUUGUAGGCCUCAGAAUCAUAAGUCAAUCCAACUAGUUUUGCUAAUUUUAUUUUCCAUUAGGCUUCAGCUCAAUUAAAUUGACAGAAAUUAAUUCUGAUUUGAUUUCGGAUUAAUUGCUUGGUUUAAAUUAAUUCGUUUUGAUUACGAAUUUAAUUUUUAACCGCAUGAAUUAAAUUAACGCGUUUAAUUAAUUACGAAGAGUAGCGCACAAGUUUUUCAGAACCUUCGAGCGUCUAUAUAAAUACAAUAUUAUUGAGUCAUUAGGGUUAUUAACACACUGUUAUCAACACACUGUUUAAUAGUAAGAUUGUAUGAAUUAAUACAAUAAGCACUUUCUUUCAAUGUCUAAACUAAGUUUUAUUCGAUCUUUGUUUCUGUUUAUUGUGAUCCUCGUCCUUGCCUUUAGAGGGCAUCAGGUUUAGUUCUUUCCCUUGCAACAGAAUUUAUAAUUUAACUUCUAUUUGGAUAUGGUGAAUAAAUUAAUUUUUGGAAUAAGUAAAUUAAAUGCGGAUGAAAUUUUUGGAAACUACUAAUCACUUGCAUGCAUUUUAAUUCACAGGAGCACAAUCUGUAGGUGUGUGUUAUGGGAGAAACGGAAAUAAUUUACCUAAUGAAUAGGCAACAGUUAAUUUGUUCAGGGUCAAUGGUAUCGGAAGAAUGAGGCUUUACAAUCCAGUUCAGCACUUCAAGCUGACGUUUCAAACCCGCAGCUUCAAUCACGUCAAACUGCUGCCGGAGCAAGUACCUGGAUUCGAGAUAAUAUUCAAAAUUACUUACCAGGUUUGCGGUCCGAAAUGAAGUUGAUCCUAACAAUGGGGGUACUUCCCGGUAUGUUAAUGUUGUCCUUCCCGCGAUGAGAAAUAUACAUAAUGCAAUCGUACGUAAGAGUAGGACUGCAAAAUCAAAUUAAUGUUUCCACCGCGACAUAUUCAGGUCUCAUCAGUGGAUCCCCUCCGUCACAAGGUGCUUUCGGGGAUAAUGUAAAAGGGUUCAUUUUGCCAAUCAUUUAGUAUUACAUAAUGAUCAGGAUUUUAUUUUAUAAUUCAUUUAAUUUAAUAAUAAUUAUCUUUUUAAUAAUUAUUAUUAUAUUAUUAUAAUAAGUCUUACAUAUUGAUUAAGAUUUUGUAAUGUUGUCCUCAUAAUAAAAAUAUUAAAUCGUUAAAAGAGUUAUUUAUUUUAUUUUUGAAACUCAAACAUGUAAUUUAUGAAACAAAUCUAUAAAAUUCUUAUCAUAUUUAAAAAUUUAAAUAGAUAAGAAGUUCAAUUGAUAUUGUUAGGAAAAUCUAUAUUAAAAAAAUUCUAAUUCUGAUUUGAGUAUAUGUGAAGAAUGUGUUGGUAUAUAUACUUGCAUGAAAAAUGUAAACUCCAACCAAAAUGAAAUCGUUGUAACUGCUUGAGGCGGAACAAGAUUGUCAAAAAUAAUUGAUAAUGAUUAAGUUUAAAUUAAAUAAAAUUACUUAAUUUAGAAAAAAUUUAUAUUAAUAUGUCAAACAAUUAUUAAAAUAACUAUUAUUACUAAACCUACGAACACUCCAAACUAACGUCAUACAUAACAACGUUUAAAACAAUAAUAAAAUAAAAAAUUUAAAUUUUACUUAAUACAAAGACCAAUUGGUGCUAAAAAAAAAUUCAUCCUCUUAAAAAUUAUAAAAUAACAUAAUAAUUUUAUUAAAAUAAAACAUAUGAUUUUGAAAUACGUCCAUAUUAACAUAUUUUUUUGAAUAAUUUUAUAAAACUAUUUAAAAAUUGAAUUGAGAUCAGAGAUUAAUAUAUAAAAUAUUUUCUAUCUAAACAAUAAUUAUUUAAACAAAUAUAUUAAAGAGAUAUAAUAUAAUUAAACAAAAAUAUACUAUAAUUCUAAUAAAUAUUGCGGGUCUCAAAACUCAGAAGCCCUGUCCGGGUCUUCGAGCACUUUAUGAUCAUUUGAGAGUAAAUACGACUAAAUCGAUGGCUGGAUCCCGAUGUUCUUUUACCAGAUUUUUCUUUUCAUUAUGACACCCUUUCGCUAUUAACCUCAAAUCAUUUUAUAUAUACCCAUCUCAAAUCAAUUUUUUUCUAACGAAAUUGAAUUUUUCAUUUAUUAUACGUAUGAAACGAAUCGUUAAUAUUGACAUCAUUCGAGUUGAACCGACUUGGUCCUCAUCAUUUGCCCAAUACCUGCAUGUUUUGAUCGAUCAAAAGUACAGAAGUCUUUAUUUUCACGAUAUUUCUCAACUGACAUGGACCUUUUCGAACAAAUUUUUGUUAGCCGUCUUGCCGUUCGAAACUUCAAGUUCAAAUUACCAGAAGGAUUGACUCUUUCGGGUACAGAAAUGAUAGUCUGUACUAAUAUGAAUCAGACUCUGAAUCUGAAUGGAGUUGGAACCAUGAAAAAUAAGCAAACAAUUUUCAAGAAAACGACCACGACGACUGUGAUGUGUGUGUGGGUGCGCGCGUGUGACGAUUAUGGUCAUGGCACUCGGUUUGGAAAAAAUGGUCAUCGGAUGCAUUAAUAAGGGAUUAUAUGGAAUUAUUUGCAUUUUUUAGUUGACUUGCGUGUUGCAGGUCUUCCAAUAUCGAGCAGAACUUCGACUAUAUAAGUGUGGUAAGAUUGUAUGAAUUAUUACACACAGCUUUUGAAUUAUACUACCGUAAUGUACAAGAUGUCUAAGCUAAGUUUUAUGCAGUUUGUAUUUCUGUUUAUUGGGAUCUUCGUGCUUGCCUUCAAGACACCAGGUUUAGUUCUCUCUUUCUCCAACAUGAUCCGUCACCUGUUAGAGUACAUCAACAUGGACAUUUGGUUCAUGAUUAAUGAGCCUCGUUAAUAGGAAUCAAAACCUCAAACCCAUAUGUUAGUGUUUGGAUUAGCCAUUUUGUGGAAUGGAAUGUGAACUCCAUUUCCACUUAAUACCUCUCGAUCCCAUUCUCGAUUCCCAUUCUCAUCUACCAUUCAAAAGCCCCCAGUAUUGUUGCACCCAAGAUAUUUAUCCGUCUUUCCGACCAACUUGUGUUAUAUUUCAAUCAGUUAUGGUGGUCGUUUAUAUUCUGAUCGUUAUGAUUUCUUUUCUAUUAGUUUAUUUUUUAGCGAGUAAAGUGUUGCAUAUAUAUUUUGAAUAAUACGGAUAUUGGUUAAUUAGUAAGAAGAGUGUUCCUAUACUUAUCGAUUGAUGCAUUUUAAUUUACAGGAGCACAGUCUAUAGGUGUGUGUUAUGGGAGAAACGGAAAUAAUUUACCGAAUGCACAAGCGACAAUAAAUUUGUUCAGGGCCAAUGGUAUCGGAAGAAUGAGGCUUUACGAUCCAGUUCAGCCAGUACUUCAAGCUCUCAGAGGAUCGAAUAUAGAGCUCAUUCUUGACGUACCAAACACGCAGCUUCGAUCCCUUCAAAAUCCUGCUGCAGCAAGAACUUGGGUUCGAGAUAAUGUUCAAAAUUACAUUCCAGGAGUUAGAUUUCGUUACAUUGCUGUUGGAAACGAAGUUGAUCCUAACAAUGGUGGUACUUCGCAGUAUGUUAAUCUUGUCCUUCCCGCGAUGAGAAAUAUACAUGAUGCAAUCGUGGCAGCAGGACUGCAGAAUCAAAUUAAGGUUUCCACCGCGACAUAUUCAGGUCUCACCAGUGGAUUUCCUCCGUCACAAGGUGCUUUUCGGGAUAAUGUAAAAGGGUUCAUUGAGCCGAUCAUUCGGUUUUUAGCCCAAAACAAUUUGCCACUGCUAGCAAACAUAUACCCUUAUUUCAGCUACCUAGGGACUCCACAGGGUGAUCUUCAGUAUGCUCUUUUUACAGCACCAAAUGUGGUCGUGACAGAUUCGGUUGGUAAUCGUCAGUACAGGAACCUAUUUGAUGCCUUGUUGGAUACUUUGUAUUCGGCUGUUGAGAGAUCAGGAGGUCCGAACAUCGAGAUCGUCGUUUCGGAGAGUGGAUGGCCUUCUUCAGGUGGUACUGAGGCAAGUGCACAAAAUGCAGGAACUUAUUACAGGAAUUUGAUCAAUCACGUUAGACAAAAUGGGACGCCAAAGAGACAGGGGAGACCUAUAGAAACUUACUUGUUUGCUAUGUAUGAUGAAAACCUCAAGGGAGGAGCAGAGACUGAGAAACAUUUUGGCCUUUUCAACCCCACAAAUCAGCAGCCAAAAUACCAACUUAGGUUCUGAG
rnacentral:lncRNA from 1 species